GGUCGGAGCCUAAUCUUGUAGAGUUAGAUGUUCGGUUUGCUUUUUGUGGAGGAACUGAUUUUACUGAGGAUCAUACGCUAGUUUGACUAGUUUGUUUGGAUUUUUGAUGGACUAGUGUUGCACAAAUUUGUUUACAGGAGCGGGAUGAGCGUUGUAUAUUCUAUUCAAAUCACUCUGGCUCUUGCAAUUUCAGAAUGCGGGCAUUUAGAUAGACCGUGGAGUUAGGCCCGUUUUUUCCUUCUGUCCUAGUGGCUUACCUACUGUUGGAGAAGAAUCUAGGAAACUUUGUGUUUG
rnacentral:lncRNA from 1 species